GAUGAACGCUGGCGGCGUGCCUAAUACAUGCAAGUCGAGCGAACAGACGAGGAGCUUGCUCCUCUGACGUUAGCGGCGGACGGGUGAGUAACACGUGGAUAACCUACCUAUAAGACUGGGAUAACUUCGGGAAACCGGAGCUAAUACCGGAUAAUAUAUUGAACCGCAUGGUUCAAUAGUGAAAGACGGUUUUGCUGUCACUUAUAGAUGGAUCCGCGCCGCAUUAGCUAGUUGGUAAGGUAACGGCUUACCAAGGCAACGAUGCGUAGCCGACCUGAGAGGGAGAGCGGCCACACGGGAACAGAGACACGGUCCGGACUCAAGCGGGAGGCAGCAGAAGGGAAUCUUCCGCAAUGGGCGAAAGCCUGACAGAGCAACGCCGCGUGAGUGAUGAAGUUCUUCGGAUCGUAAAACUCUGUUAUUAGGGAAGAACAAAUGUGUAAGUAACUAUGCACGUCUUGACGGUACCUAAUCAGAAAGCCACGGCUAACUACGUG
rnacentral:rRNA from 1 species